AACUUGAAGUUUGUAUCUAGCUAAAAGGCUAAAAGUCACCACUUAUGUCACUUCUUGGAGCUCCUGUGGGAACAAGAUGGACCGAUAAGGACAGUUCUGAAGUCCACCACCCAACUUGCAGGCCAGACAGCAAACCCAAGAUGAAUAGAAACCUGCAUUGCUAAGAACCCAUCCCAGAUUACAGGAGCUCUCCUGAUGGUGCGACCUGUGUCUCCCCCACCUUACUGGGACUCUUACGGUUUAGCGUGCCUCUCAGCAGGAGAAGCUGGUCAAGGAGAAUAGCAUAAACAGAAGUCAGAGCGGGGCUCUGAGUGUAAGUUGUCGCAGAUCUGCUACUUAGCAUCCUUUUAUAAAAAAAAAAGAUUUAUUGGUA